GACGAACCGUGCGAACGUUAUUCGGAAUCACUGGGCUUAAAGCGCGUGUAGGCGGGACGGUGCGUCGGCCGCUGAAAUCCCCCGGCUCAACCGGGGAAGGGGCGCCGAUACGACCGCCCUGGAGCGACGUAGGGGGAACUGGAACUUCCGGUGGAGCGGUGAAAUGCGUUGAGAUCGGAAGGAACGCCCGUGGCGAAAGCGAGUUCCUGGACGUCGGCUGACGCUGAGACGCGAAAGCCAGGGGAGCGAACGGG
rnacentral:rRNA from 1 species